AGCAGCCGCAGUAAUUUCGGCUCCAAUAGUGUAUAUUAAAGUUGUUGCAGUUAAAAGCUCGUAGUUGAAUUUUGGGAUCAGUUGGUCGGUCGUGUCUUGGUACGUACUGGUCAAAUUGAUUCCUACCUUCUGACGAAUCACAAUGUCAUUAAUUUGGUGUCGCAGGAAAUCAGGACUGUUACUUUGAAAAAUUGAGUGUUUAAAGCAGGCUCGUGCUUGAAUACAUUAGCAUAGAAUAAUGAAAUAGACGUUUGAUUCUAUUUUGUUAGUUUCUAGGAUCGAU
rnacentral:misc_RNA from 1 species